AGGCUGCCUUUUCUCUUCAUUCCAGAAGGAGACAUUGACAUCCCCCUGACCCAGGAGGCUGAGGAUGAUGCAGAGAAUGAGGGAAAUAUGGAGGAUCUCCCACCACUGGAAGACACAUCAGCCUCCACCGAGACAGUGGCAUGUGGGAGUCCUGCCGCCAGAAACCCAACAGAUUUUCCACCUGCCGUGGUCAUGUCGGAGCUCUCGCUGAAAUCCCGCCGGGUCUAUAUUAGGGCCAGGACCAG